rnacentral:misc_RNA from 1 species
GUCACCUUGGCCCAGAUAGAACAAAGGGCAACAAUUGAGUAACUUGCGUUGAUGUUGUUGUGAAUGAUGGAUUGGAAAUGCUGUAGUUUAGAUUAGGUUCAACUUCUGCAACACCUUCCAAGACUUUAACCACCAUUGACAUGGAAGGCCUCAUUGUAUAAUCCUUUUGCAAACACCAAGCAGCAACCUUCAUCAUGAUCACUACUUCUGCUUUAUGCAACUGCAUAUCUUCACUGCAAUUAUCAACUAGAUCAGACAGUUGAUUCUCUUCUGCCUUCUUCUCAAAAAGUCUUAUUAAAUGCAUCUGUUCUUCUGGCUGUGAGCGAUCAACAUUUCUCCUUCCA